UACGUAGGGUCCGAGCGUUGUCCGGAAUCACUGGGCGUAAAGCGCACGUAGGCGGAUUGCUAAGUCAGGGGUGAAAUCCUGGAGCUCAACUCCAGAACUGCCUUUGAUACUGGUGAUCUUGAGUCCGGGAGAGGUGAGUGGAACUGCGAGUGUAGAGGUGAAAUUCGUAGAUAUUCGCAAGAACACCAGUGGCGAAGGCGGCUCACUGGCCCGGUACUGACGCUGAGGUGCGAAAGCGUGGGGAGCAAACAGG
rnacentral:rRNA from 1 species